GAGUUUGAUCCUGGCUCAGGACGAACGCUGGCGGCGUGCUUAACACAUGCAAGUCACGGGGGUCCCGGGGGCAACCUUGGGAUAACCGGCGAACGGGUGCGUAACACGUGAACAACCUGCCCUCGUGUGGGGGAUAGCCGAGCUAACGCCCGGGUAAUACCGCAUACGUUCCUCUGGAGGAGUCUCUGGGGGAGGAAAGCUCCGGCGCACGGGGAGGGGUUCGCGGCCCAUCAGCUAGUUGGCGGGGUAAUGGCCCACCAAGGCGACGACGGGUAGCUGGUCUGAGAGGAUGGCCAGCCACAUUGGGACUGAGAGACGGCCCAGACUCCUACGGGAGGCAGCAGUGGGGAAUCUUGCGCAAUGGUCUAACGACUGACGCAGCGACGCCGCGUGUGGGAGGACGCCUUUCGGGGUGUAAACCACUGUUGCCCGGGACGAACAGCCCUUUUCGAGGGGUCUGACGGUACCGGGUGAGGAAGCACCGGCUAACUCCGUGCCAGCAGCCGCGGUAAUACGGAGGGUGCGAGCGUUGUCCGGAAUCAUUGGGCGUAAAGGGCGCGUAGGUGGCGCAGCAAGCGUGCGGUGAAAGCUCGGGGCUCAACCCCGAGUCGGCCGUGCGAACUGCUGGGCUCGAGCACUGUAGAGGCAGGCGGAAUUCCGGGUGUAGCGGUGGAUUGCUAAAGAUCCCGGAAUUA
rnacentral:rRNA from 1 species